CUUCUGCAUCUCUGGCUCAUUUCCCUUUGCUUUCACAGGACUCCUACCACAGCAUGGCUUUUGCCAAGCGGUGCCAUGUCUGCACCUGGGAUCGGAACCGGCGAACCCUGUGCUGCUGAGAAGCAGAACGUGAGAACUUAACUGCUGCGCCACCGGGCCGGCCCCAUAAGAUUGAUUUCAGAGACACUGUUGUUGAGGGGCAACUGAACUGUCAGAGAGAAACGCCCACUAUGGAGGUGAAGAUGCAAGAGUGGCGCUCAAUAAAAAAUUUGGAGACUGAGGCUGGUGACAUUGGUUCAGAGCCUUGACGAUUACCAGGGCCAGCAUUUCUGCGAUCCUCCUUACCUUUUCCUCAUGCCUCUUCACUUGUGAUCACAUUAUGGCUACUGCUGCUCUGGACCUCGGUCACAUCUGUGAUCAAGGGUGGAGGAAGGUCAAAGGGAAAAGGAUGUGUCAGCGGAUUUCUUCUUACAUCUCAUUGGACAACGUGGAGGAGGUCAUCGAGAGGAGGUGACCACUGGUUGAUCUGUGAGCUAGACCCAGGCAAUCAGAGGCUCCUCACCCCCUCCUCUGUCCUUGCAAUGUACGUCCACCUACCGUUCCCACAGUGGGAGCUGUUUUCAAGGACACAGCCUUGAGAGAGUAAUGUAUUAUUGAGACCAUCUGGAAGGUAUACAUGACUGAAGCCAGUUAAGGCCUCUAGAUAAACUUUUAAGAUUCUGGCAGCAGGUGUGGAGAUCUACUCAUCUUGAAGCCACUCAAGAUAAGCCUUGUAUAUAUGUUCCCUUGCUUAUUAAUUACUAAACCUGCCACCUACCAAUCUGGAGUGGCCUGCCUCUUUCUUUGGUCUCUCCUUGCCCUCUAUGUAUGGAGGCUGUUUUCAGGUUUCACCUGGAGAAAUUCCCCAGGUUGCACACCAACAGACAAAACAUCCUGUGGCCGUUCCUAGUGGAAGGGAGACUGGAAAAACAAGUAUUCAGCUUUUAAAGCCUCUAUAGAAGAGGAGGCAAGGGAGAAGGUGAUUAGAACCGGGUGUUGGAUGAGCCUGCUGUGUCUGAAAUUACU
rnacentral:lncRNA from 1 species